UUUUUAGUACAAAAAAGUCAACUUGGCACAACUACUGAUCCUACUGAUGAAUUUACUUUAAGAUUUUUUUAUUGUAAUUAUUAAAAGAAUGUGUUUGUCUCUUUUAGAUAAUAGCUUGCUAUUCCACCAUUGGUAAAUCAGCUAAGGGUAAAAUCUAAGUGCCGCUGAUGCAGUGCACGAUUUACACGAUGGUGCCUUUGAAGUCUCGCCAAUUUGGUAAGAUGAUUGUCUCGUAUGUAGGUGAAAAUGCUGAAUUGGUCAACCAAUAUUUAUCCCGUGAAUUGGCUGUAGAAUUGACACAACAAGGUACAUUAGCUGAAAAAAUUAGAGCCGCUGUUGCUGGUGUACCCGCCUUCUUUAUACCCACCGGUUAUGGUACUCUUAUCCAAACAGCUGGAGCUCCAAUUAAAUACUGCAAUGAUGGUAAAGUUGAAAUUGCUAGCAAACCAAAACCAGUACAAGAAUUUAAUGGCAGAAACUAUGUCAUGGAGGAGGCUAUGUUUGCUGAUUUUGCUAUUGUCAAGGCUCAAAAGGCUGAUCCCUAUGGCAAUUUGGUUUUCAAUAAGGCUGCCCGUAACUUCAAUGCCGCUAUGUGCCGUGCUGCUAAAGUCACCAUUGUUGAGGUCGAAGAAAUUGUGCCCAUAGGUGCUAUUGAUCCCCAUGAAAUCCAUAUUCCUGACAUCUAUUGUUUAUGUCAACAACAUAUCCAACAAUGUUUUCAAUCCUAACGUAUCGAUGUUAUUAACCCUACAACUUAAACUUACCUAUUGCUUUGUAUAUUAUAUAUCAAAGCUGUUUAAGAAGAUAAAUAGCUAUAAACAUAGCUAUUUAUCUCUUUCUAAGUUUUAUUAACGCCUAAAACGAAACGUCAAGUUGGCCAAACAUGUCCUAUGACUGCUUCCGUUUUUCCUACUAACAUAAAAUUCUUCUUGUUCUGGCCCUUAGAGUGAAACACAGGGAUUGUCUCUCAACCAUUCCAGCCAACAUCCAGAGUGAGCUAAACAUUUUGGUCCCAUCGAACCGGAUUCCAAGAUCCCUUUUAUUCUCUUAUUGCGGCGUUGGAUUACCAUUACAACAAACAUCACCUCUUUACUUACUAACUCUCAGGUACGUUUUGUAUUUUGCAUAUAUUCAGCCUUAGUCAGUGAGUGCAUUUCUAUUAGUCCAAAGCGAAUUUGUUUUUUUAUCUUUGUGCGACCACAACGUGUUCUUUUUCUUUCGGCAAAAUUAUAAGAAAAAGAAAAAAUUAUAAUAAAAAAGGAAAAAUUAUAACCAAAAAAUAGAAAUUUAAAAAAAAAAUUUAAAUGAGAAAAAGAUUGUUUUAAGAAUAAAAGGAAAGUGAGAACGAAAAUUCGAGAUAAAUAUAAUAAUACUGAAGCUCAGAAGAAGAAGCUAGGAAGAAGAAAUAAGCAGUAAGAAAUGAACGAAAAUUAUUACGAACACUUCGAAAUUCAGUGGAUGGAUGAUUCAACAGAAAUACAGCCUUAAUUAUCCAAAAGGAGGUUUUCAUCAGCAUUCUGUAAGUGCACACUUCAAAAAAGUUGAACUUGAUUUAUUAAAUUCGUGCUUCGCGUUUAAAUCUGUAGGGUGAUCUUCAUGCAUGCAUGUAUAUAUAUUUCUUUUUCAGCUCUUCCCAUAAUAGUUCCACUUGAUUUCCCCUUUUUUACAUUUAUAUUCCCCAACCUUUACUUUGAUUUUUAUUCAUUCAUUCUCUUACGAUAAAUUAUUUGAUUGUAUUUAUUUUUUCUUCCCCGUCGAAAAUUCCCUUAUUUUAAAGCUUUCUCCUUAAAUUCGUACUCAUAUCAUAUGCACUCUUACAUGUGCAUGUGUGUCAUUCGUUCUUUUCCCCUUUUUUUAUUUUACAAUCCUUUUAGCAGUUAGACUUAAUCUCGAUAGCAGAGAACUGCAUUCGUUCUCUUUAGUAAAUUUCUCCUUAAUUUUCCCCUUUCUCAAUUCCACACUUUGAAUUUACUCUCUCUCUCACUUUUUCCACUUUAUAUUGUUCAGUAAUUCCAUCGAAUCAGUGUUGCCAUUAAAGUUUUUUUUUCGAGGGAAGGUAUUGCUAAUGUAAAUAACUUUUAUAUACUAUAUUGUGAUAAAAUAUAAAUUUUACAUUUUGUGGACAGUUUGUGAGUCAUAGUAAAGCAACUCCACAUUUUAUUCAGUUCUAGUUCAGUUCUAAUUAUUCGUUACCCACUCCUGAUUUGAUAAUCGAUCAGUGAGUAUUGAUUUUGGAAAUAUUCGAUUAAAAUUUUAAACAUGGAAAAAAAUCGAAAAAUUAGUUUAAAUUUAUAAAAAAUAGUUUCAAAUGUAUUUGAGUUUUUUUUGGCAGUUCUCUAUUUCUUUUAUUU